UAUACAAAGGUAUUGAAAUAAGAUUUUAAAUGAGUGCUAAGAGARUGAUUGAWCAAUUAUAGGCUUUACUUYAGUUAAAUAAUUAAAUUUAAUUUUUUUUAGUGCAAAAGCAAAAAUUAAAUUUAGGGACAAGAAGACCCUAUGAAUUUUAAUUUAAUUUAUAAUUUGAAAUUUUAAAUUAAAUUUGAUUGGGGCGAUGGAAAAAGAAUGAGUAUCUUUUUUAGUUKUAAAAAUUGGUYCCGUUUUUAACGAUUAAAUGAGAAAAAUACUCUAGGG
rnacentral:rRNA from 1 species